UCAGGCUGAAAGCUCGAGUCCAUGUUCGUCUCUGAUGAUUCAGUUGCUCGUUCUUCUUCGAGCUCUGAUACCAUGAAGAAUUACUGAGCAAAAAACUGAAUUACACUGUGUAGUGGGAGGACGCAUACAUAUACACAUACAGACCAUGAUGUCAGAAGAGAUAUAUGGCCAAGAAAUAAGGGAUAGGGAGAAUAAAAUAAAAGAUUUCCUAAUAUGUCUGAUCCUAUAAUAACUAUCAGAUAUUUACAUUAAAUAUAGUAUAUUUCCACAGUUCAUAAAAAGAAUUUAAUUCAGAGAAUAAUUCCAUAAUACUAGUAAUACGAUGUGUGUUGUUAGAAUCAACCACCCAAAUAUUUUUUGACCCUAGCACCGUGCUUAGUGUAGUAGUGAGAGCAGUACUUGCUUGGGCUAAAGUAAUAGAGGGAGUGGAUUUCUCACUGGAUUUUUCACGAGACUAUUUGCAAGGAUUCUCUGCAACACAGAAAGUUCUUCACUGUUUAGUGUUGCUUUCACCAUUUGAAUUACUCACUAUCAUACCCUUGUUGUCCCCUUUUGAUUUUUGCUUCAAGUGGGCAAGUUUGCCAUGAAUUUUCUCGCAAGUUUCUUGGGUGUGGCCAUUUUUGUUGUAGCGGUCACACUUUAAGAAUUUUUUUGCUGCUUUCGGAUCUCUAUUCUGAUUGUUGUGACCAACAUAGCAGAGGUGUCAACAUUUGGCGUGGGAGGAAUAGUCAAGGGACUCCGCAAUAGUUCUUUACAGCUCUCCUCAUAUUUGAUCAUGUUGAAGGCAUUUUCCAAUGAUGGGAGAGGUUUCGUACCCAUGAUUCUUCCUUGAACAUCUUCAAAGAUAUCUUCCAGCCUUAGAAGAAAAUCAUAAAAUCGUUUGUGAUCAAGGACUUUGCAAAGAUAAGUUUCAUCAACAUAACACGACCACUAGUGCACCUCCUAUAAAUCAAUUUGUUGCUAGAAAAUCACAAGAGCAUUAAAGAAUUGAGUAACAAACUUCUCCCCCUGCAUAAGGCUACAUAACAUCCUUUUAACCUGAAAAAUGACUGCAAUAUUCUCUUUUACAGAGUAUGUCUGCCUCAUAGAUUCCUAAAUUCCCAAGCAGAAUUAGCAAGAAGAUUAUUUUCACUAAUUUCAGGGGUCAUUGAGUGAACUAACCAGGUCAUAACAAUGUUGUUCGUGGCGCACCAUACAUGAUAUUGUGGAUCCUUAGUUGUUGGUGGCAUGGGACUCCAUGUGAGGUACUUUUCUUUAUUUCUUCCAUGAACAAACAUGAGUACAUUCCUAGACCAUUAAAGGUAAUUAUUCCCAUUAAGACAAUGGGAUAUGAUGGCUUGAGAGAGUGCAUCAUGUGCUGAACUAACUCGUGUUGGCAGCAUCAAGGUGUUGGCACCACUCCCUCUAGUACUGGUCUCUCCUGUUGAGUCUCCGCUGGUCUUUGAUGAUGUCUUGGGGUCUUUGCCAUAGGUGGCAAAGACGCUUGGAGAGUUGGUUAGCAUUGCUUUAUACAACAUAAGCGAGAGCGCUCUGAUACCAUGAGAAAUUGCAAUGCAGAUUUGCAUAUCUUAUUCCUCUGAAUAAUACGAUACAUAUAGUGCUGAGGGGAGAAUAUAAUCACUUGAAAUCCUCUCCCAAUAAUUGACAUAUUCAAAAAUGAAAUUAAAGGAAAUAUUUUGUAAUCUAUUAAUUGCAGAAUAUUACAAUAUAGUAAUAAUGGGCCUCAUAAACCUAAGCCCACUUCCAACACUUUCUAACUAUUGCUCAUAUACUUCUAAUUUUUUUCAAGUUACAAAGUGCACUAAUUUCGUGUUUUGGUUAACUCAUGUCAAGUGUCAUUCAAUUUGGGAUUAUGCAAUUAAACAAAAGUUAGUUGAAGAAAGGGCAACAUAUUUUGUAGUAUUUCAUUGUAGUUUUUUUAUAUAAUAGGAGCCAGAAAAAGAAAGAAGUCAACAAUCUGGAGCAAUGAUUUAAAAAUUGGACCGAACUAAACAGUUGAAUUGUCGACCGGAGCCAUUAAUGGCUCGAUUUGGAGCAAAAAAUCAUUUUCAUGUUGAGUUGGAUUGAAUCGGAGUUGAGCUGUUAUGAGUUGGACGUUAGAGUUGAAUUGGGAACCGGAGUGGUUUUCAAAAAAUUAGACGAUUUUAAAUAUAAUAUAAAAAAGCUUAAAAAAUAAAAAAAACUAGAAAAAUUAGAUUCUACUAAAAGCUAACUUUAUUUUUGGACAAUUCACAUGUGUAAAAUAUGAUUUGAGACCAUUUUUUUUUUAUAAAGAUGUUGACAAUUAUAGAUGUAAUUCUGAGAAUCAAGUAUUUCUGAGAAUCAAUUUGGUUUUAUGCCAGGUAGAUCAACUACAGAGGCGAUUUAUCUACUAAGGGGAUUAAUGGAAAAGUAUCGUUGUAAAGAUAAAGAUCUACACAUGGUUUUUAUUGAUUCGAAAAAAGCUUAUGACCGUAUACCAAGAGAAGUGCUUUGGAAAGCGUUGGAAAAAAAGGGAGUACGGAUUGCUUAUAUUAAAGCCAUACAAGAUAUGUAUGAGGGGGUAAAAACUAGUAUAAGAACGCCUAGUGGUCAAACAAAGGAUUUUCCUAUAAAGAUUGGACUACAUCAGGGAUCAUCUCUGAGUCCUUAUUUGUUCAACUUGAUUUUAAAUGUUUUGACGGAACAUAUUCAAGAGGAAAUUCCGAAAUGUAUGCUCUUCGCGGAUGAUAUAGUUCUUAUAGCAGAGACAAGAGAAGAGGUUAAUUACAAACUUGAGUUAUGGAGGAGGACAUUGGAGUCGAAAGGUUUUCGUCUGAGUAGAAGUAAGACGGAAUAUUUAUAUUGUAAAUUUGGUAAAGAACUAUUUGAAAAUAAUUUGGAAGUGAAAUUGGGAGAUCAAAUUAUACCUCAAGUGGAAAAGUUUAGAUAUUUGGGAGCCAUUAUUCAAAAUGAUGGCGAAAUCAGUGGAGAUAUUUCACAUAGAAUUCAAGCUGGGUGGUUUAAUUGGAGAAAAGCUAAAGGAGUUAUUUGUGACCGUAAGGUGCCUAAUAAACUUAAAGGAAAGUUUUAUCGUACUGCUAUCAGACCGGCAAUGUUAUAUAGUAGUGAAUGCUGGGCUCUAACGGGACAGCAAGAGCAUAAAGUUGGAGUAGCAGAGAUGAGAAUGUUACGAUGGAUGUGCGGACAUACACGUAAAGAUAAAAUUCGAAAUGAGCACAUACGUGAAAAAGUGAGGGUGGCACCUAUUGAGGAAAAAAUGGUAGAAAAUCGGUUGAGAUGGUUUGGGCAUGUACAAAGAAGACCAAGGGAGGCACCGGUGAGAAGAGUGGAACAUAUAACUUUGAGUCCGAUUAAGAGAGGUAGAGGAAGGCCUAAGAGAACACUCUUGGAAGUUGUUGAACGUGAUCUCUUAAUUAAUAAUAUUUCUAAAAGCUUAAUAAAUGAUAAAGCACAAUGGCGUCUUGCAAUCCAUGUAGCCGACCCCACCUAGUGGGAGAAAGGCUUGUUGUUGUUGUUGUUGUUGUUGUUGUUGACAAUUAUAGAUGUAAAAACAUACUUUUAAGUCUACUCAUAUCUAAUUAAACUAAGAUCCAUUUAUAUUUGACAAGUUAUAAAAUUAUAAUUUAUGAUGUUAUUAAUUUACAGUUAUGUUAUGUCAUUUUUGUGGAAAUAUACUAUAGUUAAUGUAAAUAUCUAAUAGUUAUUCUCUUAGUUAUUAUAUGAUUAUAGGAUCAGAUAUAUUACGGAAGUUUUUUAUUUUAUUCUCACUAUAAAUCCCUUAUUUCUCAGCUGGCAUCGUGGCAUCUCCUUUGUAUAUAUGUAAUCGACACACCCACUGAAUGAAUUAGAUUCAGUUUUGCUCAGUUUAUCUUCAUGGUAUCAGAGCACGAAGAAGAAAGAGCAACUGAAUCAUCAGAGACGACAUGGAGUUGAACUCUCAGCCUGAAACUCACUGAAACGUAGAGUUGACUGGCUUGGAGGGUUCGUCCAGUGCGAGCUCGCAUCAAGUUGCACACUUCGUGACUGGCCAAGAGAGCUUGCUCAUCUCUCUCAUCUCAGAGAAGCUCACUGGCAUUAAGUACCGAGAGUGGGCUUAGACAGUGCGACUCGCAGUAGAGGGUCGUGGUAAAUGGGGGUACAUUUCUAGUGAAACCUAAUGUCCAGAGGCAAUGAGUGUCAAGGCUUUCAGAGGUUGAAAGAGUGAAAAUUCAAUGGUGUGUUCUUGGCUGGUCAACUCGAUGAUGUCGGUUGUAAAGAAGAGUUUUUUAGUUCUCCCAAUCGCUCGAGAGAUAUGGGAUGCUGUGAAGGAGGCCUACUCAGAUGGUGAGAAUGCUUCUCAAGUGUUUGAGAUUAAAUCCAAACUGUGGCUCGUGAAGUAAGGAAAUCGUAACCCUAGUGAAUAUUACCUUGAAAAAACUGCUUUAUGGCAAGAACUUGAUCUGAUUAUUGUUGAGGACUAGACCAGUUUUGAGGAUGCUGUUCGGUUCUGAAAACAACUUGAGAAAGAACGCCUUUAUGAGUUGCUAGUUGGACUUAAUUCAGACCUGGAUGAUGUUCGUGGCAGAAUUUUGAGUCUGGAACCUUUGCCAUCUGUCCGUGAAGCUUUUGUAAUGAUCCGAAGGGAGUACUCACGAAGAAAGGUAAUGUUAAAAGAUGACUCCAUUCCUUAAAUUGGUACUUUUGAAUCAUUUGCUCUUGCUACCAAGUCCAAUGAUCCUAGAAACAAUAAAGGACGUCCCACGUGUAAACACUGUGAGAAAGUGGGCCAUACAAAGGACAAAUGCUGGGAUCUCCAUGGUAAACCACUCGACUGGAAGCCAAGAAAGGGAAGAAGCCGUGGAUAUGUUGCUGAAAGCUCUAUGGGAGAUGAUAAUUCACAGCCCUCAAAUAAUCAACUAAGUAAGAUUCUUGAGAUGCUGUUAGCCCUACAAACUAAUAGUAAGCAGCUUGUUGCUACUGUGGUACAAAGAGGUAAUUUUUCUAAAGCCUUAGCUACUAUUAAACGAGUAUGCACUGGAGAUUGUUGGAUAGUAGACUCAAGCGCUUUGGAUCAUAUCACUGAUAAUAUUAAACUAUUUACGACCUAUGUACCUUGCCAAAAGAACUUUACAGUCAAGAUUGCAAAUGCAUCAGAGUCGGUUAUUUCUGGUAUAGGAAGUGUACAACUUUUGUCUACUUUAACCUUACAUCAUGUUCUUCAUGUUCCUAAUUUAAAGUGUAAUUUACUCUCAGUGAAUAAAUUGGCAAACAAUGAGAAGUGUCAUGUUGAUUUAUUUACUUCUUAUUGUCUUUUCCAAGAUCUACUGACGGGGAUGAUGAUUGGCAGUGCUAAAAAGGUUGAUGGUCUUUACUACCUGGAUGAAAAUGAAGUCAGUAAUAUUAGGUCAUGCAAUAAAGUGUCUCUCCCUAGGACUAGUGAGUUGGAGUUGUGGCACAAACGUCUUGGUCACCCUAAUUUUAAUUAUAUGUCAAAAAUGUUUUCCUCAAUUUGCAAUAAAAGUGAUUGUUCUCAGUUCUAUUGUAAUUCUUGUGAAAAAGCAAAACAUCAUCGUGCCUCUUUUCUUAGUCCGUCAUACGUUGCAUCAAAACCUUUUACAAUCAUUCAUAGUGAUCUAUGGGGGCCCCUCUCAGGUUCCUAACAGGACUCACUCAGUGGUUUAUCACUUUUAUUGACGACCAUUCUCGUGUUACCUGGGUGUUCCUUCUAAAGGACAAAUUUGAUGUUUCACAGGUGUUCAUUGAUUUCUAUCAUAUGAUCAAAACUCAAUUUUCACACGUCUAUUCAGACACUCCACACUAACAAUGGCACAGAAUAUUUCAACUAACAUCUCUCCACUUUUUUACUUUUCAAUGGAAUUGUUCACAAAAGCACUUGUCCAUACAGUCCUCAGCAGAAUGGUAUUGCUGAAAGGAAAAACAGGCACAUCCUUGAAACAGCCCGUGCACUUCUAUUUGGUAGCCAUGUUCCUAAAUAUCACUGGGAUGAUGCUGUGUUCACUACAACUUUCCUUAUUAAUCACCUUCCCAAUCGCACCUUGUCAUGUAAAACUCCUAUUGAAGUUUUACACCAAACUUACAAUCUACCCUACCUGGAUACCAAACGUAUCUUUACCACUUGUGAUGUCGCCUGUCACAAAACAGAAUCCUUCUACUCACAAUCUCCAAUCCAGGGGGAGAAUUGGAAUGAAUUGCAGAUUGACAUGUGCGAGAACACGAGUGAAACACCUAACCCUAUAGCUAUACCUCAUCAUUUGUCCCUUGAACUCACUGAUCUUGAUUUGGACCUAGGAAUUGAAAACACCAAUACCACUACUCAAAGUGACGUGCCAAAUCCUAGUCCCAACGAGACGUCCACGAUGGGGGGAGACACCAGAUUUGCAUAGACCUUUACACGGAAAAACAGGACAGGUAAACAGACCCAUAUCUCAAGCACUGAUCAAGAGUCAGAACCAAAUGUAGGUCCAAAAGAAGUUAAUGGAGGAAGUCUGGAAGAAUCAGGUGGUGAUGAUAUUGACCUACCUAUAGCUAUGAGGAAGAAGCCGAGAGCCUGCAUUAGGCAUCCUAUCGAGAGGUUUGUGUCUUAUCAAGCAUUGUCUGCUAAAUUUUUUGGAUUUACUACCCAUUUGGAUAGUGUUAUAGUACCAAAGAAUAUAGAAGAGGCCAUCGUCAUACUUGAAUGGAGACAAGCUAUAAUGGAGGAAAUGGAGGCAUUGACAAACAACGAUACUUGGGACAUGGUAGAAUUACCUCCGGGAAAUAAAGCAAUUGGAUGUAAGUGGGUCUUUACACCUAAAUACAAUGCUGAUAGUAUUCUAAACAAACACAAAGGAAGACUUGUUGCUCAAGGGUUCUCCCAAGUGUAUGGUAUAGACUACACGGAGACAUUCGCACUUGUAGCCAAACUCAACACUGUUAAAAUAAUUCUAUCGCUAGCCGCCAACCUUGAUUGGCCAUUACAUUAAUUAGAUGUAAAAACCGCCUUCCUAAAUGGUGAGUUGAAAGAUUAAGUGUAUAUGAAGUUGCCGCCAGGGUUCCUAGGAAAUAAACCAAAUCAAGUUUGCAAAUUAAAGAAGUCCUUGUAUGGACUAAAGCAAUCUCCAAGAUUGUGGUAUGAGAGACUCACACAGGUACUAAAAAGGGCAAGGUUCAAACAAGGUCAAAGCGAUCACACAAUGUUUUUUAAACACUGAGACACUAAAAUUACUGCUUUGUUGGUUUAUGUGGAUGAUAUGGUCCUUAUAGGCGAUGAUAUUGAGGAGAUUGAGAACCUUAAAAAGGCACUAGCUCAAGAAUUUCAGAUAAAAGAUCUUGGAAAAAUGAAGUAUUUCCUAGGUAUGAAGGUGGCAAGAUCUAAGAAGGGAAUAUCUAUCUCUCAAAGAAAAUAUGUGCUAGAUCUCUUAAACGAAACUGGCAUGCUUGGAUGUAGACCCAGUGAUACACCCAUCCGAGUUGACAAGAUAAGCAAUGAAGAGGAUCUUGGCAAGUCUGUUGAUCCGGGCAGGUAUCAGCAUACGGUGGGAAAGUUGGUUUUAUUUGUCACAUACUAGGCCAGAUAUUGCCUUUGCUGUUAGCAUGGUGAGUCAAUAUUCACAUGACCCCAAGCAGAAACACUUGAAUGAGGUCUACAGGAUUCUCAGAUAUUUGAAAGGUACUCCUCGAAAGGGUUUAUGGUUUAAGAAAUCUGAAAAGAGAGGUGUAGAAAUCUUCACAGUUGCAGAUUGGGCAGGUGAUCAAGAGGAUAGAAAAUCUACAUUUGGAUACUGCACUUUCGUUUGGGGAAACUUGGUUACUUGGAGAAGCAAGAGGCAAAGUGUAAUGGCUCGUAGUAGUGCAGAGGUAGAAUUUCGAGUCAUCGCUUUAGGAAUUUGUGAAGGUAUAUGGCUAGAAAGGGUGAUUGAGGAACUAAAAAAGAAUGUUAACUUGCCUAUCACUCUGUACUUAGACAGUAUGGCAGUAAUCAACGUCUCACACAACCUAGUCCAACAUGAUAGGACCAAGCAUGUUAAGAUAGAUAGACAUUUUAUUAGAGAGAAGAUUGAUACUGGCAUCAUCCAGAUGAGACACAUAUCAUCAAGGGAGCAAAUAGCUGAUGUUCUCACUAAAGGCUUAAGUAGAGAUAAGUUUGAUUAUUUUAUUAGCAAGUUGGACAUGAUUAACAUCUAUGGCCCAACUUGAGGGGGAGUAUGGAAAUAUACUAUAGUUAAUUUAAAUAUCUGAUAGUUAUUGAUAGUUAUUCUCUUAGUUAUUAUUCGAUUACAGGAUCAGAUAUAUUAGGGAAGUUUUUUAAUUUAUUCUCACUGUAAAUCCCUUAUUUCUCGGCUGGCAUCGUGGCAUCUCCUCUAUAUAUAUGUAAUCGACACACCCACCGAAUGAAUUAGAUUCAGUUUUGCUCAGUUUAUCUUCAAUUUUAUGCAUUUAAUAUAUUUUUCUUUAAUUAUUAUGUUGCUGGUUCAACCAUUGGUCUAAGCUUGUUGAAUUAUGCGAACUAUGAACCAUUGGUUUUUUCAGUUUAAUAUAUGGUCUAGUUCCGAAAACAUUGGUCGGGAGUGCUGUGACCAAAACACAUAUCAAGGUGUAGCGGAUUCCUGCUAUGUUCUGGAUCAAUUUAGUUGUUUUUUAUGGCAGGACCUAUCCUUAACCGAUUAUAUCAAUAUUUUCUUGUGUCAGCAGGUUUUGGUUAAGUGAAUGUCUGUCAGAAAAGAAAUGACAAUUAAGGCAAUAAAUAAGGCUUAAUUUGAAGACCUAAUUAUAAGACAUGAAAACCAUUGCUGUGCUUCAUCUUGUAAGGGGACUGCGACAAAGAUCAUCUCAAAUUCCCCAAUUUUAAUUUCAAUGUAUCUCAUCAUGGUGACUAUGUGGGCAUAGCUUCUGAACCUGUAUGUCUUGUGGGGCUAGAUAUUGUAUCCUAUGAUGUUCCUCAGAAAGAA